AAGUCGAACGGAAACAUGUCUAGCUUGCUAGAUGAUGUCGAGUGGCGGACGGGUGAGUAAUGCUUGGGAACUUGCCUUUGCGAGGGGGAUAACAGUUGGAAACGACUGCUAAUACCGCAUAAUGUCUUCGGACCAAACGGGGCUUCGGCUCCGGCGCAAAGAGAGGCCCAAGUGAGAUUAGCUAGUUGGUGAGGUAAAGGCUCACCAAGGCAACGAUCUCUAGCUGUUCUGAGAGGAAGAUCAGCCACACUGGGACUGAGACACGGCCCAGACUCCUACGGGAGGCAGCAGUGGGGAAUAUUGCACAAUGGGGGAAACCCUGAUGCAGCCAUGCCGCGUGUGUGAAGAAGGCCUUCGGGUUGUAAAGCACUUUCAGUUGUGAGGAAAAGUUAGUAGUUAAUACCUGCUAGCCGUGACGUUAACAACAGAAGAAGCACCGGCUAACUCCGUGCCAGCAGCCGCGGUAAUACGGAGGGUGCGAGCGUUAAUCGGAAUUACUGGGCGUAAAGCGCACGCAGGCGGUUUGUUAAGCUAGAUGUGAAAGCCCCGGGCUCAACCUGGGACGGUCAUUUAGAACUGGCAGACUAGAGUCUUGGAGAGGGGAGUGGAAUUCCAGGUGUAGCGGUGAAAUGCGUAGAUAUCUGGAGGAACAUCAGUGGCGAAGGCGACUCCCCUGGCCAAAGACUGACGCUCAUGUGCGAAAGUGUGGGUAGCGAACAGGAUUAGAUACCCUGGUAGUCCACACCGUAAACGCUGUCUACUAGCUGUUUGUGACUUUAAGUCGUGAGUAGCGAAGCUAACGCGAUAAGUAGAC
rnacentral:rRNA from 1 species